rnacentral:rRNA from 1 species
CUGAUGGAGCAACGCCGCGUGAGCGAUGAAGGCCUUCGGGUCGUAAAGCUCUGUUGUUAGGGAAGAACAAGUGCGAGAGUAACUGCUCGCACCUUGACGGUACCUAACCAGAAAGCCACGGCUAACUACGUGCCAGCAGCCGCGGUAAUACGUAGGUGGCAAGCGUUGUCCGGAAUUAUUGGGCGUAAAGCGCGCGCAGGUGGUCCUUUAAGUCUGAUGUGAAAGCCCACGGCUCAACCGUGGAGGGUCAUUGGAAACUGGGGGACUUGAGUGCAGAAGAGGAAAGUGGAAUUCCAAGUGUAGCGGUGAAAUGCGUAGAGAUUUGGAGGAACACCAGUGGCGAAGGCGACUUUCUGGUCUGUAACUGACACUGAGGCGCGAAAGCGUGGGGAGCAAACAGGAUUAGAUACCCUGGUAGUCCACGCCGUAAACGAUGAGUGCUAAGUGUUAGAGGGUUUCCGCCCUUUAGUGCUGCAGCUAACGCAUUAA